GGCGAACCGAGCGAACGUUGUUCGGAAUCACUGGGCUUAAAGGGCGCGUAGGCGGGUGCUCAAGUCCGGGGUGAAAUCCUCCAGCUCAACUGGAGAACUGCCUCGGAUACUGGGUGUCUCGAGGGUGGUAGGGGUAUGCGGAACUAUCGGUGGAGCGGUGAAAUGCGUUGAUAUCGAUAGGAACUCCGGUGGCGAAGGCGGCAUACUGGACCACAUCUGACGCUGAGGCGCGAAAGCCAGGGGAGCAAACGGG
rnacentral:rRNA from 1 species